rnacentral:tRNA from 1 species
GUUUAAAUAGCUUAAAAAUUAAAGUAUUUUAUUGAAGAUAAAAUUAUGGUAUUCAUACCUUUAAACA